rnacentral:rRNA from 1 species
GACGAACGCUGGCGGCGUGCUUAACACAUGCAAGUCGAGCGGCAAGGCCCUUCGGGGUCCUCGAGCGGCGAACGGGUGAGUAACACGUGAGUAACCUGCCCCAGACUUUGGGAUAACCCUCGGAAACGGGGGCUAAUACCGGAUACGACACAGCUUCGCAUGGGGUCUGUGUGGAAAGUUUUUCGGUUUGGGAUGGGCUCGCGGCCUAUCAGCUUGUUGGUGGGGUGAUGGCCUACCGAGGCGACGACGGGUAGCCGGCCUGAGAGGGCGACCGGCCACACUGGGACUGAGAGACGGCCCAGAGUCCUACGGGAGGCAGCAGUGGGGAAUAUUGCACAAUGGGCGGAAGCCUGAUGCAGCGACGCCGCGUGAGGGAUGACGGCCUUCGGGUUGUAAACCUCUUUCAGCAGGGACGAAGCGUAAGUGACGGUACCUGCAGAAGAAGCGCCGGCCAACUACGUG